UGUACAAUUUGUGGACGUGUAUGAUAUUGAUGCUGAAGAAGAUAAUUAUGAAGACAAAGUUUGUAUUGUGGAUAACGAAGGUGGAAAUGUAAACUUAAAUUACAAAAAAAAGCAGUUGUAUUUUGGUACAGUGGAAAAAAAGGACAUUUAGCUAUUACUGCUGUACAGAAUCGUUUUAGAAAGAUAAAAUCUGUUUCGCAAUUGCAUAGAUGGGAAGAAAAUAUAAUGCGCGGAGGGUCAAACAGUGACAAACUUGUAUUUAUUGCCGAAUAUAUACUAUCGCAAUUCCAAGAAUCUAUUGAUAGAGGAUCUAUCAUUCACGACAUAGAUUUGCGAAAAUGGGCAUUACAAGCAAAGGAGCAAAUAGACUUUUCUUCAUUUAGAGCAGGAAAUUGCUGAUGUAACAAUAGGUCAAAGUGCAGACGAAUUUGUGAGACAGGUUAAACUACAUAUUGAUGUUAUUGGUGCAAGAUCAAUUUAUAAUGCAGAUGAAAGCGGCUUUAAUUUCGAAAUACAUUCUGGAAGAACAUUAACUAAUGUGGGACCAAAACAAGUCGAAUCUACUAUCCAAUCUUUAUCUUCUAUGACUCAUAGCUAUACCAUUAUGCCCAUUAAAUCUGCAGAUGGACAUCCUCUUUCACCUCUGUAUAUAGUACUAAAAAAAUCUAGUGGAAAAUUUGGACCACGAGUAGAAAAAACUCUUUUUAGACCUAUUAAUGUUUACAUUGCAGCUUCAAAAUCCGGAAAACUCACAAGCUAACAUUUCAAAAACUAGUUUGAAGAAGUAUAUUUACGAAAUACUGGAGAAAAAAGUCUAUUGCUGCUUGAUUCAUGGACAGGACAUUGUGCGGAACAAUUAAAAGAAGUUAUAUCAGCAGACAAACAAGUAAAUAUUUUAACAAUAUCAAAAAAAACAACUGCUUUUGUACAACUUUUAGAUGUUUUCCGUUUUAGAAUUUGGAAAAAUUUUGUUCGAUGUUUUUCUGAUAAUAUUAUUUUAAAUAAUUAUGACAUAAAUUUACAUUCAUGUAAUAAUUUAAUAAAACUACAAAGUUUAACACAUAAUCAACUUUCUUCUCCAAGACUUCAAAAUGUAUUUAAA